rnacentral:lncRNA from 1 species
CCAAUACUAUAAGUAGUCAUACUCAUAAAUAAAUGUCACAGAAUGAGCAACAAAUAUCAGGUGUUGAAGUUAUAAGAAACUGGCCAUCAACAUGUCCAAGAAAGUUGCUUGGGUUGAACCGCAGAAGGUUUAGAGGGGGGUCAUGCUCCCAGUAUAUGCAAUACAGUAAAAAACAUGAACAAAGAUCCAUCAACAUCAUCAUCCUCAUACAGCACAUUUUGAUAGCAGUAAGUAAUAACCUAGCAUAGCAAUUGCCAAAAGGCAAGCUUCAAUAAGCUGAUAAAAGUGAAACACAGCAGCACUGGCAAUUAAACUAGGCACCACAGCAAGCUGAUAUCUGAACAAUCCAUCAAAAUGGCAUGACCUUUGAGCACGCAAAACCACUAAAUUAUAUAUGGUGUUCCGCGGUGACGUUUUUACAGAUGCAUAUGUUGAUGCAUUCAAUAGAAGAUGUGCACCAAAAUUGCAAAUACUGUAAGUAGUCAUACUCAUAAAUAAAUGUCACAGAAUGAGCAACAAAUAUCAGGUGUUGAAGUUAUAAGAAACUGGCCAUCCACAUGUCCAAGAAAGUUGCUUGUGUUGAACCACAGAAGAUUUAGAGGGUCAUGCUCCCAGUAUAUGCAAUACAGUAAAAAGCAUGAACAAAGAUCCAUCAUCAUCAUCAUCAUCCUUAUACAGCAUAUUUUGAUAGCAGUAAGUAAUAAUCUAGCAUAGCAAUUGCCAAAAGGCAAGCUUCAAUAAGCUGAUAAAAGUGAAACACAGCAGCACUGGCAAUUAAACUAGGCACCACAGCAAGCUGAUAUCUGGUGUGCCAUCAAAAUGGCAUGACCUUUGAACAAGCAAAACCACUAAAUUAUAUAUGGUGUUCCACGGUGACCCUUCUACAGAUGCAUCUGAUGAUGCAUUCAAUAGAAGAUGAAAAAACUGUAAAGUGCAUGGUAAAUAAUGCUCAAAUAGUCUACAUAAAACACGGAAAAUUACUCAUGCAAAAGAAUGAUAUAAUAAGAGGCUGUGCCAAUGACCAAAAAGGUUUUGGGAAAAAAGGGUCUAUAAUGCAGCCAAUGCACAUUAAUUAAUAUAAGUACGCAUGGAAAGAAACAAUCAAAUCAACUGUGAUGCCAAUUCAGCCAGCAUCUGAUAGCAUCCAUGAGUAACCCUUUAGGUAGAAGUAUAGAGUUAGUCCAGUAAAUGAGAGAAUAAUUUGUCAGAAG